GCGUAGAAACAUACCCCAAACUGAGGGAUAAGCACCGGAAACGUGUCUAAUACCGCAUAUGGUCUUCGGAUUAAAGCUUUCGAGCGGUUUGGGAAUGGUCUGCGUAGGAUUAGCUAGUUGGUAGUGUAAUGGACUACCAAGGCGACGAUCCUUAGCUGGUCUGAGAGGAUGAUCAGCCACACUGGAACUGAGACACGGUCCAGACUCCUACGGGAGGCAGCAGUUGGGAAUUUUCCACAAUGGGGGCAACCCUGAUGGAGCAACCCGCGUGCAGGAUUAAGGCCUUCGGGUUGUAAACUGCUUUUAUAAGUGAAGAAUAUGACGGUAACUUAUGAAUAAGGGACUGCUAACUACGUGCCAGCAGCCGCGGUCAUACGUGGGUCCCAAGCGUUAUCCGGAUUUACUGGGCGUAAAGAGUUGCGUAGCGGCUUUUUAAGCGAGAUAUUAAAGCAUGCGGCUUAACCGUAGAAAUGUAUCUCGAACUGAAAAGCUAGAGUAUAGGAGAGGUCACUGGAAUUUCUAGUGUAGGAGUGAAAUCCGUAGAUAUUAGAAGGAACACCGAUGGCGUAGCAGGUGACUGGCCUAUUACUGACGCUAAGGCACGAAAGCGUGGGGAGCGAACGGGAUUAGAUACCCCGGUAGUCCACGCCGUAAACGAUGGAUGCUAGCUGUUUGAGGUAUCGACCCCUUGAGUAGCGAAUAACGCGAUAAGCAUCCCGCCUGUGGAGUACGAGCGCAAGUUAAAACAUAAAGGAAUUGACGGGGACCCGCACAAGCGUGGAGCGUGCUGUUUAAUUCGAAGAUAAGCGAAGAACCUUACCAGGGUUUGACAUCUAGCCAAUCACUAUGAAAGUAGAGAGUGCCUUCG
rnacentral:rRNA from 1 species